UGAGAUAGCACUGACAGAGGAGAUUUGCGAUGUCUUUGGGUGAUAAAACCUAAAGAGCAUUCCAGAGAACAUGAGCUAAUGGUUCUGUUCUAUGCCGUACCAGGGAGAGACAGUUCCCUUUUGGAGUAAGGGGGCCAGACACUGGUCUUUACAAUGAAAACUGUUGACACAGCAGUAACUGUCUGCUAAGUUUUAUAGAUAUCUUUCAUACAAAUCUUAACCUUUGUGAACUGUUCCUAAGAUCUGUGGUUCGUCAGUAUAAGUUGAGAGGGGUGUAUCUUGGCUAUAAAAGAUCUUUGUACUUUUCUGUUGGUACUUUUCAAUGGUUUAUUAGAGAUAGCGCAUCAUUGAAAGUCAAAAAAGGCUAUUGCAAAGCUCUUAUUAAAAAUUAUGUAGUUUAAGUAUAACGACUGGUGUGUGAAGUUUGUAACUCUGCUCAUUUGGUAAAGCAGAAAUAUGCCAAAACAGAAGAUUGCCAGUAGUAGUAGUAGUAGUACUGCAGUAGUAGUAGUAGUUCUGUAGUAGUAGUAGUAAUACUGUAGUAGUAGUAGUAGUGUUAGUAGUAAUACUAUUGAAGUAGUAGUAGUAGUGCUGUAGUAGUAGUAGUAGUAGUAGUAGUAGUAGUAGUAGUAGUAGUAGUAGUAGUAGUAGUAGUACUAUUACUAGUAGUCGUUGUAGUAGUAGUACUGUAGUAGUAGUAGUAGUAGUAGUAGUAGUAGCACAAUUGGCAUAGCGUCGUCCGGGUUAGGGGUUAGGGAGGGAUUGGCAGGUAGGGAUAUCCUUGUCUCAGUAUGUAAAAAAUGUAAUAAAAUGUAUGCACUCUACUGUAAGUCGCUCUGGAUAAGAGCGUCUGCUAAAUGACUAAAAUGUAAAUGUAAAUGUACUGCAGUAGUAGUAGUAGUAAUGGUGUAGUAGUAAUGGUGUAGCAGGGUAGUAACGUAAUAUUAAUGUAAGAUGGAGCAGAUCAAGGAGAACCGCCAGGCCCACCUGGCAGCCAUGAUGGAACGCCUGCAGGAGAAGGAGAGACAUGCAGCCGUGGUGCGCAGGAACAAAGAGCUGAGGGACGAGCUGACAGCGUGAGCCCCACCUCUCCCCAAUGUCCACCAACCACGUCCCUCCACCCAGCCGCCCAACCCCUGGAAACUCCACAGCAGACACCAAGACCUGGAGGGUGGAGGACUUCACUACCACCACACUGCACCACCCACCCGACCCCUCCACACACACACACACACACACACACACACACACACACAAUCAGUAUUAACAGUAUUUUUAAUUGGAUAAGUACCAUCUCAUUAUUUUCUGUGCUAAAGUCAAGGAAACAUGUAAACUGCCAAAUAAAAGAACCAAUGACCUAAACAUA